GCUGAGAUGGCCGAUAUACCUCUUCAUUCCUGCUCUGGGAUCCUUAGACUCUGCUUCUCCCAUGUCCUCCUUGCCUUCUGGUGCACCUUUGUGGGCAGUGGCUCUGCAGUGAAAGUGAUCCAGACUCCAAGCUUUGCCCAUAACUCAGGAGGGGAAAAUAUUACCUUCCACUGCUCCGUUGAUAACACAGAGUAUCAUUUCUAUUGGUAUCGCCAACUGCCUGGGAAGUCAGAGCUUGAAGUCCUUGGAUAUCUCUACACUUACAGUAAAGCACUUGAAGGUACUCCACCUGAACUGAAAGCCCGGCUGAAAGGACAGGGUUCAAAGUUGGAGAACCCACCUAGGCGUGAAAUGAAUUUGGAAUUGUCAAAUCUUCAGCCGAAUGACGCAGGCUUGUAUCUGUGUGCUGGGGUGUACACAGUGAAAGAGAAAAGAACAGUGGCAGCUACACUGGCUGACAUCUGGACCGACAUCUAUGAGAGAAGAUAA